rnacentral:rRNA from 1 species
UGAGGAAUAUUGGUCAAUGGGCGGGAGCCUGAACCAGCCAAGCCGCGUGAGGGAGGAAGGCCCUAUGGGUCGUAAACCUCUUUUGUCAGGGAACAAAAGCGAGUAUGUAUACUAGUCUGAGUGUACCUGAAGAAAAACGCAUCGGCUAACUCCGUGCCAGCAGCCGCGGUAAUACGGAGGAUGCGAGCGUUAUCCGGAUUUAUUGGGUUUAAAGGGUGCGUAGGCGGCGGUGCAAGUCAGCGGUAAAAGCCCGGGGCUCAACCCCGGCGAGCCGUUGAAACUGCAGUGCUGGAGAAGGCGAGAGGUACGCGGAAUGCGCAGUGUAGCGGUGAAAUGCUUAGAUAUUGACGCAGAACUCCGAUUGCGAAGGCAGCGUACUGGCGCCUGACUGACGCUGAGGCACGAAAGCGUGGGGAUCGAACAGGAUUAGAUACCC